UCUUUAUGUAUUUUUGGUUGCAAAUUGCAAAGCGAUUAACUGGAAUGGGUGUUGGAGUGUGGGGGAUAGCAUACGAAAGUGUACUGGGAACCGUCAGUGAGUCGCGGUGGCCUUGAGAGAUCAAAAGGUGCUGAAAGCCCCCUGCCCGCAAAACACACCUCUAGUUAUUGGGGCGCGAGAGAAAUGUAGAUUCUAAUAAACAUGGCUUGCAGGAGUCGAUGAACAAAGGUACUUAAUGCGGACCUAAGCCUCCGCUGAUAUUGUUCCGCUAGCAGUAUCUAAAUAUUCAAAAGCGAAGUGUAAGUUGAUCAACAAACGCCCUAAUGGUAUUGGGCUUUUUCCCUUUUCUGUUUUUGUGUGGAGGGUGGAGAAGAGGGGGAGGGUGGAUGGGUGGGGGAAAUCCGACAGCUUAAGGAGGCUUGAAUUGAAUAUGCACCCAGCGGCAGUGGUCUCGUAGGAAAUGGUGUUCUCGUAAGUCAGGCUGCCCCGCUCAAGCACGAGAGAGCUUUGGUUAGAGCUCAGAGCGUCAGUUCUGCUGCGAGUGCUGCCGGCAGUCGGCCCGGGUUGAGCUGUCCACUCGUCCAGGUGCUGAAGCUGGUGGAACAUUGGGGUUCUCUGGCUGCCAUGGCACUCAAUCAAACCACCUAGAGUGGACUGGCCGAGACCAGACUAGGUACCAAGCAGAGAAGUGCAGAGGAAGGCACUGGGAGAGCACCAGAAUUGGAAAUAGAGCGGCCAUUUGGAUUUGGGCAGGAAGCAGCCGAGCACAGCUUUGGAUCCUUCUUUAGGGAAAUCGAGUUAUGGAUUUAUGGUCCCGGUCAAGCUCAGCCCAUCCCCAGCCAGGGGCGGGCUCAGCGAGCAGCAAGAGUUCUGGUGGCGGCAGCGGCGGCAGUAGCAGCGGCAGCGGUAGCAGCGGCAGCGGCAGCUUGGUCCUCUGACUCUCUUCGGUGACGGGUAUUCUUGGGUGGAUAAUACGGAUUACGUUGUUAUUGCUUAAGAAUACGCGUAGUCGAGGAGAGUACCAGCGGCAGGGGGGCAGCGGCCGCCCUCCCCAGCCCACCAGCUGGCCACUAAACGCCCGUGGUUGCCAAGGUAGCACUUUCUUGUUCUUUUCAUUUCCUCGGGUGUUUUCGCACUGGUUCCACCGGAAAGGCUGUGCGCUGCGCCUCUGGUGACCAGGACUGGAAAAUGGGUUCGCGCAGGGGGCGGGGGGCG